rnacentral:rRNA from 1 species
AUUGAACGCUGGCGGCAGGCCUAACACAUGCAAGUCGAGCGAGCGGCGGACGGGUGAGUAAUGUCUGGGAAACUGCCUGAUGGAGGGGGAUCACUACUGGAAAUGGUAGCUAAUACCGCAUACCAUCAGAUGUGCCCAGAUGGGAUUAGCUAGUAGUGGGGGUAACGGCUCACCUAGGCGCCGAUCCCUACCUGGUCUGCGAGGAUGACCAGCCACACUGGAACGGAGACACGGCCCAGACUCCUACGGGAGGCAGCAGUGGGGAAUAUUGCACAAUGGUCGCAAGCCUGAUGCAGCCAUGCCGCGUGUGUGAAGAAGGCCUUCGGGUUGUAAAGCACUUUCAGCGUGGAGGCGUUACUCGCAGAAGAAGCAACGGCUAACUCCGUGCCAGCAGCCGCGGUAAUAC